CGGCAGGCCUAACACAUGCAAGUCGAGGGGCAGCAAGGUAGCAAUACUGGGUGGCGACCGGCGGAUGGGUGCGUAACGCGUAUGCAACCUACCAUUGAUUGGGGCAUAGCCCGAAGAAAUUCGGAUUAAUACUCCAUAAUAUUCAUCAAAGGCAUCUUUUAUGAAUUAAAGCUUUUGCGAUCAAUGAUGGGCAUGCGUGACAUUAGUUAGUUGGUGAGGUAACGGCUCACCAAAACGAUGAUGUCUAGGGGUUCUGAGAGGAUUAUCCCCCACACUGGUACUGAGACACGGACCAGACUCCUACGGGAGGCAGCAGUGAGGAAUAUUGGUCAAUGGACGCAAGUCUGAACCAGCCAUGCCGCGUGCAGGAUGACGGCCCUAUGGGUUGUAAACUGCUUUUAUAUGGGAGCAAUAAGGUCUACGUGUAGACUGAUGAGAGUACCAUAUGAAUAAGCAUCGGCUAACUCCGUG
rnacentral:rRNA from 1 species